rnacentral:rRNA from 1 species
AAUCAACGCUGGCGGCGUGCCUAACACAUGCAAGUCGAACGCGAAAGGGGACUUCGGUUCCUGAGUAGAGUGGCGUACGGGUGAGUAACGCGUGGGUCAUCUGCCCUCGGGUGGGGAAUAACUAAUCGAAAGGUUAGCUAAUACCGCAUAACACAGUGAUGUCAAAGCAGCAAUGUGCCUGAGGAGGAGCCUGCGUCUGAUUAGGUAGUUGGUGGGGUAACGGCCUACCAAGCCUGCGAUCAGUAGCUGGUCUGAGAGGACGACCAGCCACACUGGGACUGAGACACGGCCCAGACUCCUACGGGAGGCAGCAGUGGGGAAUUUUGGACAAUGGGGGUAACCCUGAUCCAGCCAUGCCGCGUGCGGGAAG